GAGAGAAAGAGAGAGCACAACUGGCCAAGCUCACCACGGAAGCAGAGAUUUGAACCCAGGUUUUGAGGAGGAAUGGAAAUAUUACUAUGGUGUAUUUUGUCUUGUGAGGUGUUGUCAUAACUAAGCAAUUUGGAGCUUGCAAACAGAACACUUAAACUUCACAACUCCUUGCCAGUGUUGCAGAAAUAAUGAGAUUCAGCUGUAGAAGGUCUUGCUCCAUAAGGAAACAUCCGUCUGGACACAGAAAAGAAGGGCAUUUAAUAAAAAACAGACUUGGAAUACAGAAACAGGAACAUGUUUGUGGAAUCACCUCCUACUCUUCUUCAUUUGAAAUUAUUUUCAAGUGCAGGAAGCUUUCCUUUUUAAAUAA